GAGGGUAUAACUCAGUGGUAAAGUUCAUGCUUAGCAUGCAGGAGGUCCUGGAUUCAAUUCCCAGUACCCCCC
rnacentral:tRNA from 1 species